CUGAAGGCCUGUCACCUGGCCUGUCCACCAGAGUGACAGCUCUGGCCCUGGCAGGCCUGGGGCCUCUCCCCAGGGGUUGGCACUGUCUUGCUAUGUAGUCCAGAAUAGCAUCGAAUUCGUGGCUCUCUUCCUGUCUCAGCCUCCAGAAAGCACAUCGCUUCACAGUGAGUUUCAAAGAGGUUGCCGGCAAAGAAACUCGGACCUUUGGGCAGGCAGCUUUGCUCCUUCCUCUCUUCAGGCCUGGCUGACUCCACCAAUCUUUGAGGCCCGGAGAAGAGCACCGGUGUCACCGCCCACUCCUCCUGACAGCCCGCAACGGUCCAUCAGUGUCGGGGGAAAAGGGUGGCCCUAAGGCUCCCCCCCCCCCCGCACACUCUCAGAAGCUGCUGGUUGCCAUAGGGAACCGAGGGGCAAGACAAGGAAGGAUGCCAGGGGUGGGCAGACGCGGGAAGGCAAGCCCUGGCUCAGCACCGCGGACUCCCUUCCCGAAGUCCCUCAGGCU
rnacentral:lncRNA from 1 species